UACGGAGGGUGCAAGCGUUACUCGGAAUCACUGGGCGUAAAGAGCGUGUAGGCUGUUUAGCAAGUCAGAAGUGAAAUCCUAUAGCUCAACUAUAGAACUGCUUUUGAAACUGCUUAACUAGAGUGUGGGAGAGGCAGAUGGAAUUUCUGGUGUAGGGGUAAAAUCCGUAGAUAUCAGAAGGAAUACCGAUUGCGAAGGCGAUCUGCUGGAACAUUACUGACGCUGAGACGCGAAAGCGUGGGGAGCAAACAGG
rnacentral:rRNA from 1 species